rnacentral:rRNA from 1 species
GACGAACCGUGCGAACGUUAUUCGGAAUCACUGGGCUUAAAGGGCGCGUAGGCGGUUCCCCAAGUCCGGGGUGAAAUCCCACGGCCCAACCGUGGAAGUGCCUUGGAUACUGGAGACCUCGAGGGGGAUAGGGGCGUGCGGAACUCAGGGUGGAGCGGUGAAAUGCGUAGAUAUCCUGAGGAACACCGGUGGCGAAAGCGGCGCGCUGGAUCCCUUCUGACGCUGAGGCGCGAAAGCCAGGGGAGCAAACGGG